CAGGGAGCCUUCAUUAGAAAAUCUCUCUCUCUUUGCUCGGUGUGAUGCACCACAAUCUGGGCUUCAACUCUUUCUUUACAGAAUCCUAAAGGAUAAAAUAACUGAAACUUUCACAGCCUAGUGCUCACCAUCAUGAGCUUAUGUGCCAGAGAUGACCUUGAUACACUGUCUUCACACACAGAAAGGGGCAUCCCACAUCCACAGCGGGAGGUGCACCAGGGGGAAGAGCCACGUGGUGAGGAAGAGUCAUGUCUAUCCAGAAUGGCAAGCUGACGUUUCCAACAAUGCUGCCUUGUUGGGAUGUGGCAGCCUCCAGCAGGGGAAGCGGAGUUUAACUGUGAAUAGCAAUGCCACGUGCUCCCAGGGCAAUUUUUCCAGGUCAUUUAAUGCUAAUAAACAAAAACCCACAGCAAAGUUAAAGGCGACCCAUAGCCUAGCCACAACUAUGAAGGCAGUAGGUUUAGGAAUUGGUUUGCUUCCAGAGAUGUUAAAGGUUUGGAAAAAUUAACUGUGAUAUGUUGAUGAGAAGAUUUAUGAGAGGAUCAAGGAGAUAUAAAAAUGAAAGAGUCAACAAUAUCAGAGCAUGACAUGAGAUAGUGAAGUAUUUUAUUUCCAUUGCUUUCAAUAUUAUCUCUUGUGUGUUAGCAGGAAACAAUCUGAGCAGGGAGACUGCAUAGCAGAGGUACGGAAAAUAGAUGUGAUCAUUUUCCACAGACGGAAUGAGCACCACUCUAGAUAUUUUAUAACUUGCUAGUGUUUUAUGUCAUUUCUUCAGACAUCUGCGCAUUAGAGUGACUGAGAACUGCAAAUGAUGUAUAGUUAAGAUAUCCCCCUAUAAUUAAGCUGAAAUAAUGCUGGAUUAUUCUAGCAUAAUUAUAGGGGGCUAUUUUAACUAUUAGCUCAUUAAAAAGCUAUGAUGCAAAUCUCAUUCUGAAAGAGACGAAAAAAUGAGGGUAUAUGAACAAAAUGUCAGUGGUCCUCUGCUGAGACCAGAUGGAGAGGUAUAACUAUAUUCCAUUUAUCAGUCAAUAUAUUUAAUUAUAGCCAGGCUUGGAUGGAGCCUACAAUGGUGUUUAUUAUAUUUAGUGUUUGCAGAUGAAUAUGGUGAUUCAGAAAUGCUUGGGAAGGGAAUGUGAUACCUAUGCAAAAGGGUAGAGUUUAGCU
rnacentral:lncRNA from 1 species